GUUCUACGCAAUGAUGGGUAUAUUCGCAGUAGUGACAGUCAAUUGACCGGUCAAAUGACUGUCACUGUUCUUUUAGGGUUGAUUUGUGAGGGUUAAAUAAAAAAUUGUUUGUUUACAUUGAACUGUAAAUUUUUUCAAACAAAUUUGUGAAAAAAAUGAGGAAAAUGUUCUUUUUGCGGCAAAAUUGGUGUCAAUUUGGGCUUCCAAAUUGCGAUUUUGGCGCAAAUUCCUCAUUUCUGUUGUGUCAUUUAAGAGUGGUAGUUGGUGUUUGGGGAUUUUUUAGGAGCCGCAAAUGUGUUAAGGAUUGUCUAGGAGGGGAGAAUCUUCAUCGCUUUCCGAAGGAUCCGACAAGUGUAUUACGUGCAUAAUUUGGUCCAAUUAUCUUCAGGCACUUGAUAUAUAUACUUAUCGCUGAUCUCGGAAAGAUUUGGUCCAAUUCGUCCAUUAGUUUCAGGCACUUGAGGAUACUUACCGCUGAUCUCGGAAAGUUUUGGUCCAAUUCGUCCAUUAGCUUCAGGCACUUGAGGAUGCUUACCGCUGAUCCAGGAGAGAUUUGGUCCAAUUCCUCCGUUAGUUUCAGAUAUUACUUACCAUUUUUCCACAAGGAACAACUUAUUUGGAGUUAAUUUUGUAACUUUUUUUAAUAAAUAAAAGAACAAAAUAAAAAAUUGUGAAUUUUUUUCAACAAA
rnacentral:misc_RNA from 1 species